GACGAACGCUGGCGGCGUGCUUAACACAUGCAAGUCGAACGGAAAGGCCCAGCUUGCUGGGUACUCGAGUGGCGAACGGGUGAGUAACACGUGGGUGAUCUGCCCCUGACUUUGGGAUAAGCCUGGGAAACUGGGUCUAAUACCGGAUAUGACUCGAGGUUGCAUGGCUUCGGGUGGAAAGCUUUUGCGGUUGGGGAUGGGCCCGCGGCCUAUCAGCUUGUUGGUGGGGUAAUGGCCUACCAAGGCGACGACGGGUAGCCGACCUGAGAGGGGGAUGGGCCACAGUGGGACUGAGACACGGCCCAGACUCCUACGGGAGGCAGCAGUGGGGAAUAUUGCACAAUGGGCGCAAGCCUGAUGCAGCGACGCCGCGUGGGGGAUGACGGCCUUCGGGUUGUAAACCUCUUUCACCAGGGACGAAGCGCAAGUGACGGUACCUGGAGAAGAAGCACCGGCCAACUACGUGCCAGCAGCCGCCGUAAUAC
rnacentral:rRNA from 1 species